rnacentral:rRNA from 1 species
AGUUUGAUCCUGGCUCAGAACGAACGCUGGCGGCAGGCUUAACACAUGCAAGUCGAACGCCCCGCAAGGGGAGUGGCAGACGGGUGAGUAACGCGUGGGAAUCUACCGUGCCCUGCGGAAUAGCUCCGGGAAACUGGAAUUAAUACCGCAUACGCCCUACGGGGGAAAGAUUUAUCGGGGUAUGAUGAGCCCGCGUUGGAUUAGCUAGUUGGUGGGGUAAAGGCCUACCAAGGCGACGAUCCAUAGCUGGUCUGAGAGGAUGAUCAGCCACAUUGGGACUGAGACACGGCCCAAACUCCUACGGGAGGCAGCAGUGGGGAAUAUUGGACAAUGGGCGCAAGCCUGAUCCAGCCAUGCCGCGUGAGUGAUGAAGGCCUUAGGGUUGUAAAGCUCUUUUACCCGGGAUGAUAAUGACAGUACCGGGAGAAUAAGCCCCGGCUAACUCCGUGCCAGCAGCCGCGGUAA